UACAGAGGGGGCAAGCGUUAUUCGGAAUUAUUGGGCGUAAAGGGCGCGUAGGCGGCUUUGCAAGUGACGGGUGAAAUCCCUCGGCUUAACCGGGGAACUGCGUCUGAUACUGGAUGGCUUGAGUUCGGGAGAGGGAUGCGGAAUUCCAGGUGUAGCGGUGAAAUGCGUAGAUAUCUGGAGGAACACCGGUGGCGAAGGCGGCAUCCUGGACCGACACUGACACUGAGGAGCGAAAGCCAGGGGAGCAAACGGG
rnacentral:rRNA from 1 species